rnacentral:rRNA from 1 species
AGGGUUCGAUUCUGGCUCAGAACGAACGCUGGCGGCGCGUCUUAAGCAUGCAAGUCGGACGGCAAGGGUUGUGCUUGCACAACUCCUAGAGUGGCGGACUGGUGAGUAACGCGUGGGUGACCUGCCCUCGAGAUGGGGAUAGCCAUUAGAAAUAGUGGAUAAUACCGAAUACGCUCAUGACCCUGUGGGGAUAUGAAGGAAAAACAGGCUACGGCCUGGCUCGAGGAUGGGCCCGCGUCCGAUUAGAUAGUUGGUGAGGUAACGGCCCACCAAGUCGACGAUCGGUAGCCGGACUGAGAGGUUGAACGGCCACAUUGGAACUGAGAAACGGUCCAGACUCCUACGGGAGGCAGCAGUGGGGAAUAUUGGGCAAUUGGGCGAAAGCCUGACCCAGCGACGCCGCGUGAGGGAAGACGGUCUUCGGAUUGUAAACCUUAGUUAUUGGGGAAGAAACAAAUGACGGUACCCAAAGAGAAAGCCACGGCUAACUACGUGCCAGCAGCGGC